rnacentral:rRNA from 1 species
GGAACGUUUGUAUACCCUCGGUCGUUCGUCUCUUCGAACACUGUUGUUAUAAACCCUCUAUUAUUUUCGAAGAAAACCGUAAAAUAAACGGUUCAGAUGAGAGGUCCUUGGUCGUAAGCUUCUUGACUAGUAUGAAAUAAGGCUACUAAGACGAGUUUCAUUACUCUUCCUCUCAAGACUCUACGUCUACGACGGCGGCGUCAACUUUUAAAUGCUCUUUUAUGGGUAGGGUCUAGACGGUCAUUCGCGUAGUCAG